GCUGGCAGCUAGCUCUCUGCAACUCUCACUAAUCGCCCACUGAAGCUAGGCAGGGCUGCGCCUGGUCAGUACCUGGAUGGGAGACUACAUGGGAAAGCUAGGUUGCUGUCGGAA
rnacentral:rRNA from 1 species